UUCUGUGUGUGUGUGUGUGAUACGUGUGGCACAUGUAACUGAUGUGGGCCCGCGGAUUCUCAGAACAUGAUUUAAACCGAAUGUACCUUCACUACUGAUGAUGUGCAUGCCCACACGCACACAAAACAGGCACAAAAACAUGGGCACUGACACAUUCGUAUUACGUCUUCCGCUUGUGCACAAAUGCACAUUCAUUGGAAUAUUCUCCACUAACAGAUACCAGCAAUCACAACCCAAACUAUUCACCAGGCAGCGUUGUUUCUCAUGUUUUACUCAUCUAGUUAGUGACGUGCUGAUUGUGUGACGAUGUCGUGUCGUGUGAUUGUUUUUGCAUAACUCCUGCUUCUCUUUUCCACGCACGCUCUCUCAUCUCGCUUCCCUCGACUUCCACUGCCAUAAUGUCCACUGUACAAGCAUGUGGAUGUCCAUCAGGGGAACAAAACUCUGGGAGGAAUUGGGAAUCCCCUGCUUAACGGCUUCUUUGAUAAACGAAAGGUAGAGAGCUGCACCCAGCAGAUGGUACGUGAUUAUUUUUUGGCCAUUUCUGCCUUUAAUCACCAGGACAGCAUUAAAGGGGAGAGAGAAGGGGAAGACAUGCAGCAAACCUGCUGCAGGUUCCAACAGAAAUCCUUUCUAAGCUUUAUGUUGACUGUAAAUAAACAAUGUGUUUUCUGUUUAUAAAAGCAACAUAUAUGUAAUCAUUAAAGGUUCUUGGGUCAAUCAUGUGAGUAUAAUAAAUACUUAAAUGAAAAAGGAA